rnacentral:rRNA from 1 species
UACGUAGGGGGCUAGCGUUGUCCGGAUUUAUUGGGCGUAAAGAGCGUGUAGGCGGCCUGGUAGGUCUGCUGUGAAAACUCGAGGCUCAACCUCGAGAUGUCGGCGGAAACCAUCUGGCUAGAGUCCGGAAGAGGAGAGUGGAAUUCCUGGUGUAGCGGUGAAAUGCGCAGAUAUCAAGGAAGAACACCUAUGGCGAAGGCAGCUCUCUGGGACGGUACUGACGCUGAGACGCGAAAGCGUGGGGAGCGAACAGG